rnacentral:rRNA from 1 species
GACGAACGCUGGCGGCGUGCUUAACACAUGCAAGUCGAACGGAAAGGCCCUGCUUUUGUGUGGUGCUCGAUUGGCGAACGUGUGAGUAACACGUGUGUAACCUGCCCUUUACUUUGGGAUAACUUCAUGAAACUUGGGCUAAUACCUGAUAUGAUCUCCUGCUGCAUGGUGUGGGUUGGAAAGUUUCGGCGGUUGGGGAUGGACUCGCGGCUUAUCAGCUUGUUGGUGGGGUAGUGGCUUACCAAGGCUUUGACGGGUAGCCGGCCUGAGAGGGUGACCGGAAAAAUUGGGACUGAGAUACGGCCCAGACUACUACGGGAGGCAGCAGUGGGGAAUAUUGCACAAUGGGCGGAAGCGUGAUGCAGCAACGCAGCGUGCGGGAUGAAGGCCUUCGGGUUGUAAAAAGAUUUAGAAUGUGACGAAGCGUGAGUGACGGUAAUGGGUAAAGAAGCACCGGCUAACUACGUG